UACGAAGGGGGCGAGCGUUGUUCGGAUUUACUGGGCGUAAAGCGCGCGUAGGCGGCUUUGUAAGUUAGAGGUGAAAGCCCGGGGCUCAACCCCGGAACUGCCUUUAAAACUGCAUCGCUUGAAUCCGGGAGAGGUGAGUGGAAUUCCGAGUGUAGAGGUGAAAUUCGUAGAUAUUCGGAAGAACACCAGUGGCGAAGGCGGCUCACUGGACCGGUAUUGACGCUGAGGUGCGAAAGCGUGGGGAGCAAACAGG
rnacentral:rRNA from 1 species